UGCUACUACGUGCUGAACAUUAAACGCCUUGUGCUCAAUACGAAAUUCUCACGUACCGGAUUUUAACGGAGGAAGUGCCUUCUGGCUUUCUUGGGAAUGUUGGAGUAGUAUAUAGAGGGGUUGCAUAUUAGAAUUUUUUCAAAUAGAUAUGGGGAGAAGUUGAUCGAUUUAUCGAUGAAGAGAUGCUACUCCUGGUUUAAGGGUAAAAAUUUGCCGAGGGGGAUAGUCUCAUGGGUUAACAGACUCAGCUGACCACUGCUCGAAGAGAAAAUUUUUUGAAAAAUUACGUGCCUGUUCCAUAAUCUGGCAGUAAAAACAAUAUUCAGUAAAUUUACGAAAAAGUUACGCUUUUUUCAAUGAAAAUUCCAUACUUUUUCUUGAACGUUCUGGACUUUCUCCUGAAAGUUCACUGAAGGGGGUCCAACUGUUGCAUAAUUUUUACCGAAUAUUGUUUUGACUAAAUUUUUUUUUCGUGUGGCAAUUUUUAAUUUUUCACUUGUCACUUCAAGUAUAAUGGUAACAAUGAUAAUCCAACAAUAAUAAUAAGCUAACAAUGUUCAAUAAUAUGUUGGAGACCCGGACUCGAACUCGGUAGAUGUUCCUGUGAACUCCUUCCCCAAAAUUUGAAUUUUUUUGAGUUUAAAAGACACCUUUUUCGAGACAACUUGGAGAUGUCCAGGUGGAAAUCAAUUGUCAUCUUCAGAAGUCGGAUCUGCUACUUUAAUUUGAAUUUUUUUUCUGAGGAAGGUGUGCAGGAGAUUACCAUAAAUUCGUAGAUUUGUCUAUAGACAAAUAGGCUAUGGCCUUCAGGAUUUCUGACUUCACUAGGUUACUGCAAAAAGCCACCACUUUCGUGCAAACACACUUCGCGUUCGACAGCACUUACGUCAAGAGGGUUUAAUUGUUCUUGUCCAGGAAGAGACAAAACUUCAAAGAAUGAUAAACCAAUAAUUUCAAGAUAACUUCCAAGCAUGGCAACCAAAUAAUUACCUGAAAAAUAAUUAUUGACGAGUAAUUUUUUAUCGGGUAAGUGGAAGCCAUGGGAAGUGAAGCAUUGCGAUAGGUUAAUUACAGACGAUCAUUAACCGAAGCGCAGUAUAAAAAUCGGUCGUAUCGGAAAAAUGAAUUACUUCAUGAAGUUGUUCAUGAACUGGUCCCACUAAGAAUUUCAAAUACUGAAGGAGCUUUGAAGUCUAUCAGGAUGAAGACGUAUAUCCAGAUGAUUCUAGUGGCACUGGUGAUCGUCGCGGUCUUCACCCCCUCCGAUGCAGAAAAACGAUGUAAAGAUGGGUGUUCAGUAGAAAAUUGCAAUCAGGAUGAUGUCCAACGUUUUGGACAACCAACCAACAUCCGUUGCUCUUUCAUUGGUGCCGAGUAUUGCAUAUGUGAGUUCGAUUACCGCAACGGGUAAUGAAUCACAAUAUUCUUUAAUUCGCUGAUAUUUAUUUAUCACAUUGUUUUCACUCUGUAAAUAUAUUCAGCGGAUAUUAAAAUUUUUUGUGGACCUCGCAAA